AUUGAACGCUGGCGGCAGGCUUAACACAUGCAAGUCGAGCGGGGGAAGGUAGCUUGCUACCGGACCUAGCGGCGGACGGGUGAGUAAUGCUUAGGAAUCUGCCUAUUAGUGGGGGACAACAUCUCGAAAGGGAUGCUAAUACCGCAUACGUCCUACGGGAGAAAGCAGGGGAUCUUCGGACCUUGCGCUAAUAGAUGAGCCUAAGUCGGAUUAGCUAGUUGGUGGGGUAAAGGCCUACCAAGGCGACGAUCUGUAGCGGGUCUGAGAGGAUGAUCCGCCACACUGGGACUGAGACACGGCCCAGACUCCGACGGGAGGCAGCAGUGGGGAAUAUUGGACAAUGGGGGGAGCCCUGAUCCAGCCAUGCCGCGUGUGUGAAGAAGGCCUUAUGGUUGUAAAGCACUUUAAGCGAGGAGGAGGCUACUUUAGUUAAUACCUAGAGAUAGUGGACGUUACUCGCAGAAUAAGCACCGGCUAACUCUGUGCCAGCCGCCGCAGUAA
rnacentral:rRNA from 1 species